GGCAAAGUACAUAUAUGUNUUUCCCCCAUAU
rnacentral:tRNA from 1 species